rnacentral:rRNA from 1 species
AUUGAACGCUGGCGGCAGGCCUAACACAUGCAAGUCGAGCGAGAGGCGGACGGGUGAGUAUUGUAUGGGGACUGCCCGUUAGAGGGGGAUAAAUACUGGAAACGGUAGCUAUUACCGCAUACUAUCGGAUAACCCAUAUGGGAUUAGCUAGUAGGUGAGGUAUUGGCUCACCUAGGCGACGCUCCCUAGCUGGUCUGAGAGGAUGAUCAGCCACACUGGGACUGAGACACGGCCCAGACUCCUACGGAGGCAGCAGUGGGGAAUAUUGCACAAUGGGCGCAAGCCUGAUGCAGCCAUGCCGCGUGUAUGAAGAAGGCCCUAGGGUUGUAAAGUACUUUCAGUCGGGAGGCGUUACCGGCAGAAGAAGCACCGGCUAACUCCGUGCCAGCAGCCGCGGUAAUAC